AGUGAACGCUGGCGGUAGGCCUAACACAUGCAAGUCGAACGGCAGCACAGUAAGAGCUUGCCCUUACGGGUGGCGAGUGGCGGACGGGUGAGGAAUACAUCGGAAUCUACUUUUUCGUGGGGGAUAACGUAGGGAACUUACGCUAAUACCGCAUACGACCUACGGGUGAAAGCAGGGGAUCUUCGGACCUUGCGCGAUUGAAUGAGCCGAUGUCGGAUUAGCUAGUUGGCGGGGUAAAGGCCCACCAAGGCGACGAUCCGUAGCUGGUCUGAGAGGAUGAUCAGCCACACUGGAACUGAGACACGGUCCAGACUCCUACGGGAGGCAGCAGUGGGGAAUAUUGGACAAUGGGCGCAAGCCUGAUCCAGCCAUACCGCGUGGGUGAAGAAGGCCUUCGAGUUGUAAAGCCCUUUUGUUGGGAAAGAAAAGCAGCAGGUUAAUACCCCGCUGUUCUGACGGUACCCAAAGAAUAAGCACCGGCUAACUUCGUG
rnacentral:rRNA from 1 species